CUAUUUAUACAUUAUUUGAAUAAUAUUUAUAUACCUUUCUGUUUUAUUUAUGUAGAGCCAAUAACAGAUUUGUAAAUAAUUGCAUUAACAGCAAAAGUAACGCAUUAUUCAUGAAAUAAGGAGGGCCGUAAUAAGCCCCGGAGAGAAACUCUCCAUUCACGAUGCAUGCUCUUUUCCAAAGCCAACGAUUUAAUGCUGGCGUCCUCGAUUUGACGGGAAAGAACAAUACUGCGAAGAAAAAUGUGCAUUUGCAAUACACACUCUUAAAAGAUAUGAUACUGGUGAGGCGAAGCAACGAUCCACAACCUGGUUGCUAAUUAAUUAAACACUCUAACGUCACUAGUCUUAUAGAACAAUAAGAAAAUAAGAGGUGAUCGAAUCUGCAAUAUUUACACAAAUUAAUAUAUUUAACGAAAGAAGACUACUUUGUUUAAAGCUAGUAAGGAAAAGCAGCGCCACAAUUUUUUUUUUAAUAAACAAAACUACAAGAAAUAUUGUUAAUUGGAGAUUAAUUGAAGAUCAGAGAGCUUCUGAAACGCGGCAGUACCUUUGGAAAGAUGUCCGACAAAAAUCCACGGAGAUCGUUAAGUUACCUUACAGGCCGAUUCAAGGACAGACAAGUAUCAUCAGGAUUGCGAGUCAUCCUGCUUGUUCUUUAUACUCUUUUUUUUCUCCUUUUUCCUUGGACUCCGGCGUCCUUCCGUGCCGGGCGCUCUUCUUUGCUCGAUACUCGUUUAAAACUCGUUUUUAAAACCAUACACGAAAGUUUAUUAAUUUCAUUUAUACCGACUUAUAAUUGGAGAUUAGAAUCUAUAUUAUUAGAUCCUGAUUCGAUUAGAUUUUCUUAUGGUAAAUCAAAGUUUUAAAUAUUCUUCUAAUCUUCUUAUAGGUUUGGAAAUUUGCAAAAAUUAGGUUAAGAUUAAAAAUAAUUGAUGUAAUUAUUGAUGUAAAAGUUCUUUAUCCUUAUGAAGAUUAAUUAAAUUCUGUGUAAUUUAUUGUGUCAGUUUAAUUGCGUUUAAUGAAAGUUUAAUGCCAGGAGAGGAAUUUCUCUGCUAGGCUCUACAUCUGAGAAUCCCCAUUUAUAGGAACUCUUCUAUAGUCUUCCAUAUAUAGACAUAACCUUUUUUCAGAAAGGAAGAAAAAUUAUGGAAGAUUUUGUUUCAAAUGUUGGGGUGUUUCUAAGAAAUAAUGUCUUUUUAUGCCACAAAAUAUGCGAAAUAUCUUUUCUUAAUUCUAUAUAUAAUUUCUGUAGAACAGCAUAGAGAUUUCAUUGGAUUAUAUUAAUUAGUAUAGCUAUAAAAUUAUAAAAAGAAAUUUACAUAACCUAUAAUCUAAUAAUUCACUAAUCAUUAUAAUACUGUCAAUUAAUAAAUUAUUGUGCAACAGGUGGAGAAUGUGAAAAGAAUGGUGAGAAAUACAGUAAUUUAUAGUUUGGAAAGUGAAUGACGCGAUAAUUCAACUCCUGUGAAGAGGUAGAAGAAUGAAGUUGAAAAAGUCAGGCACAAACUUCUUGAUGAAGGAAGUUGUUUGCGGUCGAAUGAAUCGGACCUUGGCAAGAGAAGUCCAGACAGUGCGGUGCUGGAAACAGCUCAAAGGAGUCCGCGGCACGUCGACAAGACGUCCCCUUUGUGGGAUACCGUUCGACCACCGAGCAAGUAACGAGAUUUCAGUUCGUGGAACUCGCCAUAACGACCCCGCCUCUCGUUUGUCCAGAAAUUCAUUCACUAAUUCUCCUCUUACCUUCUGCUGUCACAACAUUGAUCUGUUUCUUGAUUAAAUAUCACCAACGAAUCUUUGUAGUAGACAAAAAGUAUAUUAUAAUGAGAGAUGAUCAGUAGCUGAGAGGUUAGAAUCCUAUACCUAGGGGAAGAUACAUCUUCACGCAUUUGUGAAGUAAUAUGUAAUAAGAAGUUACACCGUAAAUUGUAUAGAAUUAAGUGUACGUUCAUCACAUUGCUAAAAUGGGACGUGAAAAAGCAUUUAGAAGAGGGCAGAACGUAUUGUUUCAGUGAGAAGAGGUUAGGAGGUUGUUUACUCGAACCGAGUUCGAUCCCCCAAUUGUUUGGCGGAGAGCGUGUAUCGAUCGAAUAGUUCGAGGAGUCAAGCGCUCGCACGUGUCCGCACCUUUUUCUUUCUUUGCAGACAUUGGAUACUGUAUACGCUGGAUGCUGCGCGAAACCGUUAUGCAACCUGCAGCGUAUAAGUGGUCUUUGCUCGUCCAGAUUCCCGUUGCCCUGUCUCCGCAUCGUUUUCAUCAUUACAAAAUAGCUAUGGAAAAUUAUAACCUACUCAUCCAAAACUACAAGUUCUCCUCUUAUUAAUUAUUAAUUACGAAUUUACCUUAAUUAGGAAUGAGAUAAAAGUUAUAAGAAUUAAUUUAAAAAAAUAGAAGAAAUGAAAAAUUGACUAGGUUAUAUAUUUUCAGGAUGGAUAAAAACAGUAUAGCAUUGGAAAUAAACAACGUUGUGCAAUCAUUCUUGACGACUGGAUCGACUACGACAAAACCACAUUUUACUGCUUGUUUAGCCUUCGCAUUUUUCAAUACCAGUUCUUUGUACCCACGUAAUUGAAAUAUAUAUGUAUGUAGUUGCAAUUUAAUUUCAGAUUGGGAAGUUUCAUUUCCACUUCUCCAAUGUCAUUUAGCUGUUACAGCUAUAUAAAACCAUGGUUAUUCACAUCACGAAGACAUCUCCCUGUUUCCCGUGUUCUAUAACGUUUUGAAGCAAUCGUAUAGCUCACUUCAGAAGCGACGUUCAUUGUUUUCUCUGUAUUAUGCUUCACUGUCUCAACGCGUUUUGAAUUCUUCCAUACAAUUCAAACUCAAUAUAUGUACUUUUUUCAAAUGUUCUGCUUAAAACAAUGAUCCAUCCACUAUUGAACUCGAAAACGCCAUCUACAUCAGUACAUUGUAAAGCGGAUAAUGUCACGAGGUAUUUAAGGCGACAGGCCCACGAGUUACCGUCGGCGUCAUCGACCACCAUGAUCCCGUGUUUAGUCUCUGGCUCCAUUUCCUUCUCCCUUUCGGCCACUUUCCUUCUUGUCUCUCCUCGCCCCCAGCCACUCCCUUAUUCGCUUUCAAGUUCUCUUCUCUUCUUUUGUUUCUCUCCCCCUUUUCUUCUCGCUGCACUUGUAUUUUUUCUUCUCUCUUGCGUUGUUUUAGUGUUGAAUAUUUAAUCGUUUAAUCUCUCUUAAUUACUACUUCAAAUAUUUUAGAUAUUUCUUUACAUUCUAGUCUCGAAUCGCAGUGUAAUAAUUAUUAUGGAAGUCACAGCAAUAAGUCUUAACAAGCAAUAUUUUUUAAAAAAGAUUAGCUCUAAAAAAAUGUCUGUUCACCAUAUUUUUCGUUCUUUGAACAAAUGUUUCUUGCUCUACCCAUUUCUUCCUACUCCUCUAAUCUAUUUAUGACCGAUUUCAAUUCAUCCUCUCUCUUCAUCUUUAACCUCCAAUAUAUCUUCCUCCUUGUGGAAUCGUGUUCCCCAUGAAAGAAGAAGAAUGGAAAGCUGUGACGCGAUUUACGACCCUGUUUACAGCUUCCGGAAGAAGCAUAUCGACCUCACGCACGCACUAGAUGACGAAAAAUGGACGCAAAUUGGGGUCAGGAGGAGUGGCAUCACAUGUCCAAGGUGUGCAUCAGGUAACCAUGAACGCGUUUAUCGUCCUUUAAAAGAGAUUCGAGCGUCGUGUGGACACUAGCAGAGAUGAAGUCAACUGAGAGAGGGGUUUCCUCACCCAAGGUGAUCCGGUAUAAAAGCGAGAGGCCAUCAAGAGCGAGAAGACCACCUGACGAAUCCUCACGCAUAAAAAGAAACAGGAUAAAAAAAGUCAAACUUUAUUGAUCAGAAAAAGACAGUUAGCAUUGGAUCACGACCAUAUUUAAUAUCAUACAAAGUUCCCCUGGAUCAUCAUACAUGAUAUUCCAAUAAUCAUGGAUACCUUAUAUAAUAAAUACAUAAAGGAAUAAAAAUCUGUGACUAGAAGAAAAAACACAAGAAACACCAUUUGGUUUGAAUUUCGAGAUUAUGAUGGACAGAAAAAUGUAAUUAACGAAGAAGACGCGCAGAUUCUUUGAUGAAGCGCUUUUUUAAUUAAGGUU